AGCGUAGGCGGAUAGUUUAGUCAGAGGUGAAAGCCCAGGGCUCAACCUUGGAAUUGCCUUUGAUACUGGCUAUCUUGAGUAUGGAAGAGGUAUGUGGAACUCCGAGUGUAGAGGUGAAAUUCGUAGAUAUUCGGAAGAACACCAGUGGCGAAGGCGACAUACUGGUCCAUUACUGACGCUGAGGCUCGAAAGCGUGGGAGGCAAACA
rnacentral:rRNA from 1 species